UCCGAUUUGGUGCAGAGGUUAGCAUGUCAGGUUUUCAGCUAUAUCUUGGAUUCCUGAGGACACGGGUUCGAAUCCCGUAGUCGGAA
rfam:Gaeumannomyces graminis var. tritici R3-111a-1 unplaced genomic scaffold supercont2.8, whole genome shotgun sequence.